rnacentral:rRNA from 1 species
AUUGAACGCUGGCGGCAUGCCUAACACAUGCAAGUCGAACGGGGCAGCAAUGCCUAGUGGCGGACGGGUGAGGAAUACGUAGGAAUCUGCCCUUAAGUGGGGGAUAACCAGGGGAAACCCUGACUAAUACCGCAUGAUCUCUUCGGAGCAAAGAGGGGGACCGCAAGGCCUCUCGCUUCUGGAUGAGCCUGCGUCUGAUUAGCUAGUUGGUAGGGUAAAGGCCUACCAAGGCGACGAUCAGUAACUGGUCUGAGAGGAUGAUCAGUCACACCGGAACUGAGACACGGUCCGGACUCCUACGGGAGGCAGCAGUGGGGAAUAUUGGUCAAUGGACGCAAGUUUGAACCAGCCAUGCCGCGUGAAGGAUUAAGGUCCUCUGGAUUGUAAACUUCUUUUAUAUGGGACGAAAAAAGGUCUUUCUAGACCCCUUGACGGUACCAUAUGAAUAAGCACCGGCUAACUCCGUGCCAGCCGCCGCUGUAAUAC